GUCCAGAUGAAGAUGAUGAUGAAGGUCAUGUUGAUGAAGAUUGUUGUGUGUGUCAGUGAUGAAGUGUUAAACUCACAGCACUAUAAACACUCUCAGAGCACUGAAGCAUCUGAUCAAUAUGCAAACACACUCCAGAUCAUUUACCUGAAGACAGCAGAAACACUGUUUUGUCAUUUAGUAUCUUUGCUAAUAAAUUUCUAUUGAUCAUUUUCAGAAAUAGACACUCCUGAUUUACUUCAUGUUAUUUUGGGUGGAUCUUCUCCCUCUAAACACUGUUUUAAUGAUCAGUUUCAUUCAGACUUUGAUGCUGAGAGCAUUUAAUACCUGUGCUGCAGAUUUGAUAUCAUCAUGAUACUGUAGAACAGGUCAAAGGUCAUCCAAUAGAGAAUGACCAUCUAAAUCUGGCUAAAGAUUUCAUUAUAAAGCAGUUUUUUCUUUUAAAGAUGAAUAUUUAGUGUGUGUUUUCAGCUCAAUCAUGUUGAUGUUGAGAAGAGCUGCUGUUGAGUCUCAUAUCAGUGUGUGUGAGUGUCGUUCGUCUCUUUCUCUGCUGGAGUUUGUGUUCAUUUGAGUGUGACGGAGGUUUUUGUACGACGCUUUCACUAGAAUGAAGCACUGUGGUACACUUUCGGUGGAGGAACUAAACUGACCAUCACUGGUCCCGCAGUGAAGCCCUCCGUGUCUCUGCUGCCGCCCUCUUCUCUGCAGAUCUCUGGAGACUCAGCCGCACUGCUCUGCCUGCUCAGCUCUUACUCUCCACAGGGGCGACGGUGAGCUGGACGCUGGACGGGUCAGAGGUCACCGAGGGGGUUCAGACCAGCACAGAGAGCGAGCGGGACGGACGCUACAGCCGCAGCAGCGUCCUGAGCCUCAGCAAAGCACGCUGGGAAGGCGCGGAUCGCUUCGUCUGCAGAGUAAGACAUGACGGAGCUGAUCACGAGGCCUCGUUCCUCAAGAGCUCCCAGUGCUGAUGUUUCUCCGGUCCAGACGAGCCGUAUCUGAGCGUCCGGCAGGAUUCACAGCAGUCACGUGAUUUACAGCUCAAUACUGAAGCAGUCUUUCAAUGUGCUGCCAUUGCUGUUCAUUCAAUAAAGCUUCUGAACGCGUUA